rnacentral:lncRNA from 12 species
AUGGAGGUGCCUCUUAAUCAACGAGCUGUGACUGUGAGCAGGCCAAAGCUUGUGGGUCAAGCUGUGCAGUUAGUGGGACCAGCAGAAAGGUAUUUUAGGGAUGAGAGACAGAUUUUGGAUGGGCAGAAGGUGCCAUCUCAGCAAGUGGAGGCUUGGAGCCCGCUGUGCUUGUUCAGUCCCUUGGAGGUACAACAUGGAAACUGCUGCCCCUUGGGUGGCUCCAGAAGGUCUCUGCGGGCAAGGGAUCCUCCUAGAGGAUGGAUCCGAUGCCUCUUCCAACACCCCCACGUCCUCAGAGCCGGGAGCAGAUGUUGUGGUUGCUCGGCACGGCAGGGAACGGGAGUUAAACGUUCUUAGGAAAUCUCCAUUCCCGUGAGCGCACCACCCGUUUGUCCGAGGGUUUUCCUGCGAACCUGAGCCCGCUGCGCUUUCCUGUGGGGCCAGAGCUCUGUGUCAGGCAGAGCUCUGCCCGGUGUGUCCUGCCGCCCCACGGCUGGCGAGGGGAGGGGCUGCUGGUGAGCGGUUCUUUUGCUGAGGGUGCAGCAGAAGGACGGAGAUGCCGAAGGGUACUGGCUGCUUUGUGUAUACCAUGUAUACUGACCAUCGAUCUCUGCUGUUUGUGCGUCAAUAGCAAACCUGAAUAAAUCUGUAUUUAAAGUUACGCCUGCCUCCCCUGGGGACACGCUGCUGCAGGGCUUGGCUUGUUGGUGCCUGCAGGGCAUUCCUUGUCUGGUUGAGAUCCUGACCCCUUUGUAGUGUCAGCUAAUUGACUAAAGAACACAACGAAUGCCUUUUUGGGUGACCUAAAAACAGAGGCCAGACGAAAUCAAGAGAAUAAAAAGCAAUUCUAUUUAUGGAAGGGCCUUCAGGUACAUUUAGGGCAGACAGAGCUCCCCAGAGGCUACACCCAAAAAAUGGACAAGUCAUCACAGAUUUUCACACUUUUAUGUUUGGUCCAUUUGCAUUUUGGGGGUUAAUCUUCAAUUACAGCUUCAGGUAAUGAAGUCAUUUACCCCAGGUUUGCUCCCCCCAACUCACUUUUGUUUCCAUCUCUCAGGCCUGAGGCACUGAGGUGUCCUUGAUUCCCAGCCUGGGGAGGAAUUGUUGUGUCUGCCCAAAAUGGGAGAGCAGCAGCUCCCACUGGAUGUGGAGUUUGGAGUCCUACACUAAAGAAUUGCAGGGUUACAAAUAGAUGGAAAAUAGAAAAGCUAAAAUCAUAAGGCAUCAAAACCAUCACCUUUAAAAGCUCAGCAGGUU